UCACCCAUACAGGAUUCCAAGUUGACGCUUCAAUUCUGAUGCCACUUCCUUCCGAUGCAGAGUUGCUUUGUCUGAGCUGAACUGCAGGUGUGAGGCCUGGUUGCUUCACUGUCUUCUCAGGCUCCCAAGAGAUUAUUGAUGACCACAGUUUGGAAACCUCUCAACCUUGAUCAUUCCUUGAUGUCUUCUAGAGUAUGAGUGGGAGAGAAGCAGAGAGGGAGACACAGAAUCCGAAGCAGGCUCCAGACUGAGCUGUCAGCACAGAGCCCAACGCAGGGCUCGAACCCAUGGACCACGACCUGAGCUGAAGUCAGACACUUAACUUACUGAGCCACCCAGGUGCCCAUUUUGUCUUCUGUUCUAUCAGCAAAAGUAUAUCUAUGAAAACUCAUGACUUUGGAUGAAUAAGUUCUAAUUGUUCUGUUUUUUCCUGGAAGGAGAACAUAGUUUAAAGAAGUCUGAUAAAUGGUAUGAGAAAGGAGUCCAGUGUUAGAGACCAAAGGGAUGCAGCCAGAAGAAAAAAAAUGUGGGCUCUAGAGCAUCAACUAUGUAACUCAGUCAUAGCACCAGAUAAUUCAUUGAUGACUGCACCUCUCUUGGGAAAAGUAUUUUCAGUGAUAUCCCUUGAAAGAGACAAGAAAUCCUUACAAAAAGAUGACAAACCUGGAUUGAAAUUCCAACUUGGUUAUUUGCUACAAAUGUACUGUGAUUCUCAAUUUCUUUAUAAUAAAAUGAUGAGUGUAUCAAC